GGGGAAUCUUGGACAAUGGGGGCAACCCUGAUCCAGCGAUGCCGCGUGUGUGAAGAAGGCCUGCGGGUUGUAAAGCACUUUCGGUGGGGAAGAAAGCCUUAUUGUGAAGAGCGAUAAGGGGUGACGGUACCCACAAAAGCAGCACCGGCUAACUCUGUGCCAGCAGCCGCGGUAAUACAGAGGGUGCAAGCGUUAAUCGGAAUGACUGGGCGUAAAGGGCGUGUAGGCGGUGAUUUAAGUAGGGGGUGAAAGGCCUGGGCUCAACCUGGGGAUUGCCAACUAGACUGAAUGACUGGAGUCUUGGAGAGGAGAGUAGAAUUUCCGGUGUAGCGGUGAAAUGCGUAGAGAUCGGAAAGAAUACCGGUGGCGAAGGCGGCUCUCUGGCCAAAGACUGACGCUAAGGCGCGAAGGCGUGGGGAGCGAAC
rnacentral:rRNA from 1 species